rnacentral:rRNA from 1 species
UACGGAGGGUGCAAGCGUUAAUCGGAAUUACUGGGCGUAAAGGGUGCGUAGGUGGUUAGAUAAGUUAUCUGUAAAAUCCCUGGGCUUAACCUGGGCAGGUCAGAUAAGACUGUUUGACUCGAGUAUGGGAGAGGGUAGUGGAAUUUCCGGUGUAGCGGUGAAAUGCGUAGAGAUCGGAAGGAACACCAGUGGCGAAGGCGGCUACCUGGCCUAAUACUGACACUGAGGCGCGAAAGCUAGGGGAGCAAACAGG